rnacentral:lncRNA from 1 species
ACCAGAAGUCCAUGCACAUAGAGUUUAGAUAAACGCAAUUACCUCAAAUAGAAAUACAUGGAGGUACAGAGAGUAAACUCCACAUAAUAGUUGUAGGCCCAAGUCAAUUGGCCAGCUAAACACUGAAGUCUGUCUUCAGAAGAUGGGGCUCAGGUAUAUGGCAGAUUGGUUUUAGUGCAAGUGGAAGUUUGUUAGAUGUGUGUCCUAGAAGUCAAUCUUGGCUGACACAUAC